rnacentral:rRNA from 1 species
UACGUAGGGUGCGAGCGUGUCCGGAAUUAUUGGGCGUAAAGAGCUUGUAGGCGGUUUGUCGCGUCUGCCGUGAAAAUCCGGGGCUCAACCCCGGACUGCGGUGGGUACGGGCAGACUAGAGUGCGGUAGGGGAGACUGGAAUUCCUGGUGUAGCGGUGAAAUGCGCAGAUAUCAGGAGGAACACCGGUGGCGAAGGCGGGUCUCUGGGCCGUAACUGACGCUGAGGAGCGAAAGCGUGGGGAGCGAACAGG